rnacentral:lncRNA from 1 species
AAGUUCCAAGUUACUUGAAGUACAUUUAUACACGUGCUCACUGCUCAAUCAACGACCUCAUCGCCUACCCAUGCACGCACACGCAUGUAGAGAGGACGUCUACUUGAAGUAGUAUGGGAGGUCGAGCACGUAGAGGAGGAAGUAGGCCCAGACCACGCCGGAGAUGCCGCCGAAGAAGAAGCCUCCGGUGAACUUGGCCCAGCCGUCGGCGGUCUGCAGCUUGUCGGCCUCCUUCUUGCGGCCGGUGAGCGUGAGCGUGGGCGCCGUGGACGGGUCGCCCUCGUUGAAGGAGGCGACGCCGUACAUGGUGAGGCAGACGCUGAGGAUGGUGACGAGCCCGGCGGCGCCCAGGGCGCCCGCCUGGCCGUGCACGGGCGUGUUGCGGAGCGGGCCG